rnacentral:rRNA from 1 species
ACGCUCGACACCUACGGGGGCAGCAGUUGGGAAUAUUGGACAAUGGAGGAAACUCUGAUCCAGUGACGCCGCGUGAAGGAAGAAGGUCUUCGGAUUGUAAACUUAUUUUGUCAGGGAAGAAAAAUGACUGUACCUGAAGAAAAAGCACCGGCUAACUACGUGGCAGCAGCCGCGGUAAUCUGAGCGGGCUGGCAAGGC